AAUGUAGGAUAAUCCCGCAGUCAAGAGAGUAAAUGCGAAAUAUAUAUACGUAGGGAUAGAUAAUUCGCUGACAGCUGUAUCAAAAAUCCCGAGGGAUUUUAUCGGAAAUAACGUAUUUCACACCUUUAUAUUCUCAAUCUUAAAUUUUAUUUUUUUAUUAUUUGUCGGCUGCAAUCCAGUGAAAAGUAUUGAAAAGAUCCCGAGAAAAUAAAGGAGAGAAAAAAUAAAAAAGUGACAACAAAUAGUGUCCGAGAAAAAAUAAAAAACAUGCGCAAGACAAGAUAAAGUGCAUCAAGUUAUAUAUUUCUUGUGUCGUGGAUAAAUUUCGGAUAGACAAGUAGUCUAGUCAAGCUUCGGUCAAACGGAUUAUCCUCGCAAAAGUCCUUGUCGCUUCUUAAUUGUCUUUAGUAAAAAUAAACUUCUCAUUUCAAAAAAAAAUAUCAAAAAUUGAUGUAAAAAAUUUUUCCAAUCAUCACAUGAGGUCUAACUAUCGGUCCAAUAAAAAUUUAAUUACAAAGUAAUACGUUUGUGAAUUAUAAAAUAUUUAAGUUAAUUAAUUUAAAAAAUAAUCCAUGAUAAAUGAGGGAGUUUAUACAUACGUGCGGGAAUACCCUCGAGGGUGGAGCAAAGUUUAAUCGAAUUCAUUGAGGCCUGAAAACCGGGUAACUAUACUUAACCAACUGUUAGUAGCUUCAGAAUUGACAUAUAGCAAACAAGAAGUUGCCCGACGGGCUUUCAGAACCUGAAGCAGGUCAAUCGCGUAUUCGCUGAUAAAAAGCGGGGCAAAAAAAUUUUUCCCUUUUUAUCGCAUUUUUAGUUAUCCAACUAAAGCUUUUUAAGUUAUUUAAUUUUGUUAAUUACUUUUUUUUCCGUGGGUAGAGAUAAAAGCCAGAAUGGAGUGGUAAAAAUUUUUCAACUGAAAACACUUGCAAAGGAUGUUUCAAAAUGAUAAAUAAAAGAUGUAAAAGCUUGGCAAUUAUCUCACCGAUAUUUUAAAUAAACAGUAAAUGAUAUAAAGACCCGCAGUUAAAAACGAUGUUUAGAGCAUUAUUCAACAUGUUGAUGAGUUACGUUCAACAGUAUCUCACCCGGAAGAUGUUUCUCUCUUACUUACAACGGCGUUUAAAUUGCCGGCAAUAACUUCCUCAACUUGUGCGAUUUUAUCAUUCUGUCGACCUUGAAAAUAUUACUGUCUACAAUAGCUGUCAUUUAAUUUUCCUCUACUUUUUGGAAGACAGAGUUUUUUUCUACUAGAAGGCUUCAUAAUAAAUAACAAAGUGUUGCUAUUGCGUGGAGUUAUCCCCGGCAGAAAAAAAGUUACAUGCCACGUUCCAUAGAAAUGCAUAACCGUCAUCCUCCCUGAUCCUCGAUGAAUCCUCUCUGGCCUGACACGACGUCAUAGGUCAAAAAUAAACUUUUUCGUGGGACUUUUUGCUGUUUCUCUUUCUAGAGGACAUCAUAGAGAACAAAAAACGUUUGAAUUGUGUAGAGUUAUUUUAACACAAUGUACUAUUUGCUCGGUUUUCUUUCUUUCCGUAGUAAUCUUUUCAGAUACGCAGGAUGAGAAUCGAUCAAUAAAUUUGAGAAGCAAAGGCAGUACUGCUUCUGUUUUUUUGUUUUCUUAAUGAAGUUUAUUUGCGAUUGGGAAAAUACAAAUUUUAAUAUAUUACAGCCCGAGUCGAAAUAUUCGACGUAAAUUCAACGUUUUAAACGUGAAUUGACCGUUUUCAACGUUUUGAACUUAAAUUGAACAUUUUGGACAGUGACCGGCCUAUGAGAAAGAAAAGAGAUCGGGAAAAGAAAGCACCAAGCUUUAUCGCAAAGUUCUCCAGACUAAUUACCAAAAAGAUAAGUAGUAUCCUCAAGGUCUUUCUCCAAAACGCAAUCUAUG